UCCCCCUUCUUCAAAUUAAAAAAAAAAGUGGGGCAAAGGAAAUAUCCUUUUAAAACUCAAGCAUACUGGGUGUUUGCCUUGUAUCCUGUCAGAGGAAACAAAU
ensembl:snoRNA